UCAGAGCUCGAGCUCCCUUUCCUGCCCUCCUCCCCUCCUGGGAGCACCGCGUGGGUUCCGCUCCCUCCUCCUCCCGCAGGACCUGCAGUGCCGGGCGGCCGAGGGGGGGCGGAAGCGCCCCUUGGAGCUGCCCCCCCAGCUUGGGAGGGGAGCGGGGGCGCUGCUGCAGCCCCCAGAGCUGGGAGGGGUGAAGAACCCCGGGGGGAAAGUGGAGGAUUUUCAUCACUAGCCUUGCAGCUUCCACAGGGAACCUGCUGUUUCAAAUCCACGACCAGUCACCAGUUCACUCCCAGCAUGAGCCCAGUUUCACUGGCCGGUUCUGCAGGGUUGAUUGGAUUGACAGAGUUGUGCAAAGCAGCUGGAAUAUACCUGUAAGUCUGGUCCCCUCUCGUUACCUGAUGACUUUAAAUGAUGCCACCAAAAACUGCCUAGUGCUGCAUUUCAUGCAGGUAUUUGCAUGGCCCAGACUUCGGGGCGACUAGAUACCGAUUACUUAAAAACGUGGUGAAGUUAAACGGCUGCUGAACUAUUGAAUCGACAUAAAGCCCCAGGCGAUGUGGUUUUAAUAAUCUGCUGGCUUUCAAGUACCAUGCAAUAACCGUCCCAUUAACAUCCACGUGAAACACACAUCCGAGGCCCUGUGCUCAUUGAGAGAGGAGCCCAUGAUUUGCCAGGGGCCUGUAACUCCCUCAGGAUGGUACCGAUUCCCUUCCCAAGCUAAGCCUCAUAAACUUCUAUUGCCUCCAGCGCCUAUGGCUGCAUUCGAAGACUCUCCUCUUGAACACGGCACCAAGCUGGUUGGGGGCUUGGACGCCACCCACGUGGUUCUCAGACUGUCUUUCUUUGAUGGUUAAAAGGGAUUGUGGAGCGAGACCGACUGAAUUCAAUCCUGACCGACUGUUUCUAAGCGAAACAAGCUCCCUGGAUAUUCUGAGGGCUUCAGCCUCAGAGCGGGGGCCAGCAUCUUAGCAUGACCUAAUGGAGUCUGGGAAACUGGAGCCUCAUCUGCACUAGAGAAAUGUGGAGGCUCCAGCACGGCACUGGGGAGCACAGGCCACGGGCUGCACAGGGGUGGGAGAUCACGGUGCAGCUCCCCCCUGGAGCACGGACUCAGCGGUGAGGCUGCACCCAACCCUGACACAGCACAAGGACCGGGCCUGCCCCAGAAACACCCCAGGGCCCUGCCCCUCCC